rnacentral:lncRNA from 1 species
CUGUCUAUCGGGACCUGCGGGCAUGAAAUGCAGCGUCCCCAGGCAAAAGGGACGUCAGUACGAGUGAUGUACCGAGUAUGUAAGGCAUAUAAAUAAGUACAUAAGAGACAUGGAAGAAAUAUAGAGUACAUGACUCAUCCUGCAAGUCUGAAUAACUUUGUAAAUCAUAAAUUACUUUUAGCGUCAUGCAUAUGCGUAUGAAUGUCAUGUCGUGCAUAGGUACAUGUUUCAUAACAUCAUCAGCCUCUGAGGGCAUCCCAUUAUUUCAUAUCGGCCACUGUGGGCAACAUCAUCAUCAUGUACCAGCUGAUCAGGUGGUGGUGUAUAUAUAACGCCGUAACCUUUUCCCAUAUCCCAUAUACAUAUAUUUAUAUAUAUACGCGUAUAUAACGCCAUCUGGUCAUGGGUCAAUGCACAUGUACGAAAUGCAUGAAAAAUACGUAAUAAUCUCAAUAUUCCUUCCGGAUAAUUUUUCCAACUGCGUAUUAUUCUGAGACCCAUGAACAGAAGAAAAUAAUAAUUCUCAUGGGGAAUCAAGAAUAUAGAUAAUUUUUAUGAAUAGAAUAAUUUAUAGAAACCGUGUAUUUGCUCGUUUCUUUCGUAUAAUCUAGACCAUGCCAAAAGAAAGAAGGGAAGGCCUUAACAUACCUGUUCCCGAAAUUAUUCGAAUGAAAUUAAGCUUCUGCUUCAGCGAAAUGUAUAGAACGAGACUUGCUUGAAUCAUUUGAAAUUUUUUGAAACUAAAUUGUUCCGCUUUUCACGACUUGGUGUAGCUAGCUUCUUAUGUGUAAAAGAAAUGUUUCUUGCUUAGUUUUAGGAGAGUUGUCUCCCUUUUUACCAACAUGGAAGGACUUAAGGUCUAAUUGUUUUUGAAUUAGGAAAGAGCUCAAAAUGAUCUUUUCUUUCUCACGUUUUUCUUUGGUAGCCAAGUCAUAAU